UACGGAGGGUGCAAGCGUUAAUCGGAAUUACUGGGCGUAAAGCGCGCGUAGGCGGCUCGAUCAGUCGGGUGUGAAAUCCCUGGGCUCAACCUGGGAACUGCAUUCGAUACUGUCGAGCUAGAGUGUGGGAGAGGGUAGUGGAAUUCCCGGUGUAGCGGUGAAAUGCGUAGAUAUCUGGAGGAACACCGGUGGCGAAGGCGGCAUCCUGGACCGACACUGACGCUGAGGAGCGAAAGCCAGGGGAGCAAACGGG
rnacentral:rRNA from 1 species